UUUUGCCCGUGGUGAUUGCUCUGAUUGUAAUAACACUUUCAGUAUUUGCUCUGGUGGGUUUAUACCGAAUAUGCCGGAAGACGGACCCAGGUACACCGGAAAACGGAAAUGACCAACCUCAGUCUGAUAAAGAGAGUGUGAAGCUGCUCACCGUGAAGACCAUUUCUCUUGAGUCUGGUGAGCAUUCUGCACAAGGGAAAACCAAGAACUGACAGCUUGAUGAACCCUUCCUCCUCUUGGGCAUACAUAUAUCCUUUGUCCAGGGAUCAAAAUGGGAGAAAGCCCUGUGGAGUCUCCGAACACCCAUCUGUAGCAGCCACCUAGCCCUAUAAAGUGAUGUCGGGUGAGACACAGCAUAACUUGAGAGAAUCAAAAAGAAUCCUGUCUACAUCAUAUCCUGUGAGAUGUAAAGAAGCACCUUGCUACAUUUUAUUGAAGCAUCUCUAGGAGACAGAAGUUUUAAGAGGGCAGUUUGUGAAGCAGAUCUGACCAUCAAGACAGAUGAGCCCACUGAUGGCAGGAAUGUACCUUGAGUUUAAUGUUUCAAGAGCCUACAGUUUUCAUCCUCGGAGACGUUUCUACUUUCCUGGUAUUCUUAGAUUGCCUAAUGUUUGUAUUUAUUGUUUUCUAUUAUGUUAAUGCAGGGACAAUUUGCAAGUUUAUUACUACAUAUUGGGUAGAAACUAUGCCAUACCAUAUUGUACAGACAGCUAUUUUACUUAUAUGUUAAUGUGACCUUCAAUGAAUAAUAACAGCAUCUUAUCACUAGUGGGAUAGAUUUAAAGGGUUAUUGCUUGGAGUAAGUAAAAAUAUCAUAAUGUGGCUGUAAAACAUGUAAAUACUGUUUCCCCAUGAUUAUGUCAGACUCUGAGACCCAAGAGUAAAGGACACCUGAUAAGUGAGAAGGUGACAAAGUAUGUAUAAAACUCAGCUACGGGGGAAUCCAUUUGCCAUUUCCUUAAUCUUUAUAUUAAAAUGCACAAUAUGUGACAAGGAUAAAAAUACAUUCCUGAGACUUUGUACUGAAUUCAGUAAGAGCAUAACGACAUCAAAAUUUGUUAUUAACGCAUGUGUUUAAUACAGUCUGUGUAUUUUCCAUUUCUUUUAAGACUGUAAUGAGGUCUUCUAGCAAUCAUUGCUAAAUCUUCUGCUUAUAAAAGCCAACACUCACAUAUACAUAGGUGUGAUACUUUUAAUGGUAACACUUUCCUAAAUAUGCAAUAUGUUUAUAGCUGCUGCUCCAUCAGGGGCAGUCUCCUAUUGAGAGCUGAUGGAUCAACCUGGACCAUCUCCUGGACUUAGAAGAUCAAGAGUGUUACAUGGAGGGAGGGUUUGUGGAAAGCUUAGGAACGAAGAAGCGUGCCAGUAGUGGCUCUUCACCCUUUCUGAUUACCGACACUGAUUUUGAUGCUGUUAUUUUAGUAUUCCGAGUAUAGCAUCAUGGAAAUAAAACCAGAUUUUUAAAACUGUU